rnacentral:rRNA from 1 species
GAUGAACGCUAGCUACAGGCCUAACACAUGCAAGUCGAGGGACCGGCGCACGGGUGAGUAACACGUAUCCAACCUGCCCUUUACUCGGGGAUAGCCUUUCGAAAGAAAGAUUAAUACCCGAUGUAAAGGAUGGGGAUGCGUUCCACUAGGUUGUUGGUGAGGUAACGGCUCACCAAGCCUUCGAUGGAUAGGGGUUCUGAGAGGAAGGUACACCAGAUUGGAACUGAGACACGGUCCAAACUCGUAGGGGAGGGAGCAGAGAGGAAUAUUGGGCAAUGAGGGUUAGCCUGAACCUGCCAAGUAGCGUGAAGGAGGAAGGGGUAUGGGACGUAAACUUCUUUUGAAUAAGAAUAUGUAUUAUAUGAAUAAGGAUCGGCUAACUCCGUGCCAGCAGCCGCGGUAAUUC